CGACGUGGGUAACCUGCCCUAUACACAUGGAUAACAUACUGAAAAGUUUACUAAUACAUGAUAAUAUAUACUUACGGCAUCGUAGAUAUAUCAAAGUGUUAGCGGUAUAGGAUGGACCCGCGUCUGAUUAGCUAGUUGGUGAGAUAACUGCCCACCAAGGCGACGAUCAGUAGCCGACCUGAGAGGGUGAUCGGCCACAUUGGAACUGAGACACGGUCCAA
rnacentral:rRNA from 1 species